GAUGAACGCUAGCUACAGGCUUAACACAUGCCAGUCGAGGGGCAGCAUGGUCUUAGCUUGCUAAGGCCGAUGGCGACCGGCGCACGGGUGAGUAACACGUAUCCAACCUGCCGUCUACUCUUGGACAGCCUUCUGAAAGGAAGAUUAAUACAAGAUGGCAUCAUGAGUCCGCAUGUUCACAUGAUUAAAGGUAUUCCGGUAGACGAUGGGGAUGCGUUCCAUUAGAUAGUAGGCGGGGUAACGGCCCACCUAGUCUUCGAUGGAUAGGGGUUCUGAGAGGAAGGUCCCCCACAUUGGAACUGAGACACGGUCCAAACACCUACGGGAGGCAGCAGUGAGGAAUAUUGGUCAAUGGGCGAGAGCCUGAACCAGCCAAGUAGCGUGAAGGAGGACUGCCCUAUGGGUUGUAAACUUCUUUUAGAAAGGAAUAAAGUCGGGUAUGGAUACCCGUUUGCAUGUACUUUAUGAAUAAGGAUCGGCUAACUCCGUG
rnacentral:rRNA from 1 species